rnacentral:lncRNA from 1 species
CUAGUGUCUGUGCAGGAGGAGAAAUAAGUGAUGGAACAGCAUCUGACUAACUUGGUAAUAGAACCACAAACUAACUCAGCAAAAACAGCAGAGACUCACAGGGUUUUUGCCCUUUUCAUGUCAGGAGCCCACAAUUAUCAGAAACUGCUGGAGGUGGAAUCACAAUUCAAUAGGAA